rnacentral:rRNA from 1 species
GACGAACCGUACGAACGUUAUUCGGAAUUACUGGGCUUAAAGGGUGCGUAGGCUGCGCGGAAAGUUGGGUGUGAAAUCCCUCGGCUCAACCGAGGAACUGCGCUCAAAACUACCGUGCUCGAGGGAGACAGAGGUGAGCGGAACUUAGGGUGGAGCGGUGAAAUGCGUUGAUAUCCUAAGGAACACCCGUGGCGAAAGCGGCUCACUGGGUCUCUUCUGACGCUGAGGCACGAAAGCUAGGGUAGCGAACGGGG